rnacentral:rRNA from 1 species
AUGUAUGAAGACAACAAGAGACAGAGGGUUGAGGACACUCUGAUAAAUUCUUUUGAAGUUCAUAACCUGACACAAGAGAAGAAAAAGUUACAGGCCAGCUAUGAGAAGCUGGUUGAAGAUGUCAAUGCACUUGUGGAUGCCCAGCAACGUAGGGUAGAGAUAGAAAAGACAGAUGCUGAUACCAAGAAGUUGGAGGAGAAGUAUGAGAUGGUGAAGAACCUGGCAGCUGCUCAUGCCAGUGUCAUUAGGAACAUGAAGCUCAAGCUAGCUGAAGAGAGGAAGAACUUACAUAUCCAAAUUGAUGAGAUGCAGAAGAGUGUUGAAGAGAGCAAUGUGAAGCUGCAUGAGAGCAAUGUGAAGCUGCAGGAGAGCAAUUUGAAGCUGCAGGGGAUCAAGGCCAUCCUAAAUGAAUGA